GCUCUUUCUCUGUAUGAAAAGUUCUUAUCUGCACAUAGGAUUAAUAUUUAACUUGCAUAUUGCUUUAGGGAAGCUGGUACUGACAACUCAUUUAGAGAAGACAGAAUUAGAUGGAUCUUUUUCUUCUGGUCCAGAGUAUCUACUCAUUUCUUGCCACCAGCGAUGGAAAGAUUGCCUCUUUCAGUGCAUAUUCAGUGCCUGACACGUUGAGCAUGGAGCUGUCAGGGGAGGGUCAGUAGAAGAUUAAAAGUCUGAAUUGUACAAAUGACACUCCUGGUUGCCAAGAAAGCUUUGAUCUUGAUAAUGACAGGAUGCGAUGGCUGGAAGCUGUAGCUCACAGGAUUCAUAUGAGAAGCAAGGAAUCAAGCUGUUCAGAAUGAGCCACAGACCUUGCUGAUGUGACUGCACAUUUACGGUAAUAUAAACUAAUUUAUAGUACAUAUGGAAAGGAGACUUCAUUUGGAUUUGGCAAUGGAACAAAAACACUCAUGUAUCUGGACUAAAUCUCAUAGAAUCACAGAGCAUCCUGAGCUGGAAAGGACCCAUGAGGAUCACUGAGUCCGACUCCACGCAGGACAACCUAAGAACGAAACCAGCUUCCUGCUGUUCUGUAGGAGGAGAACAGUUUGUGGAGUGCAUGUGCAGACAAAACCGCUGUGAUCCACAAGGCUGCUGGGUCAGAGAGUCGAUCUGCCCUGCUCUACAGGCCUAUCAAAGCACCUCAGCAAAGAGCUCAGUGUUGUGAGCUGCUUCUGAUGCCAGACAAAGUCUGUCUGAACCGCGGGAUCGCAGGGGCUGGAAAGAACCUCAAAGAGCAUCGAGUCCAACCCCCUGCUGAGGCUGGGCCUUGGAUGCUGCCAUAGGAGACUCCACAGCCCCUCUGGGCAUCUCGUGCCUUAGUGUAAGUAACUUCUUCCUUAUUUCUAGUCCAGAUCUUUUUUGGCUUGAGCCCUUUCCCUUGUCUUGUCA
ensembl:lncRNA